rnacentral:rRNA from 1 species
UACAGAGACUGCAAGCGUUAUUCGGAUUCACUGGGCGUAAAGGGUGCGCAGGCGGUCGUGUGUGUCAGGUGUGAAAUCCCGGGCUUAACUCCGGAACUGCGCCUGAAACUACACGACUAGAGCAUUGGAGAGGGAAGUGGAAUUCAUGGUGUAGCAGUGAAAUGCGUAGAUAUCAGGAGGAAUACCAGAGGCGAAGGCGGCUACCUGGACAAUUGCUGACGCUCAGGCACGAAAGCGUGGGGAGCAAAAGGG